GGCUGGUCCAAGGGCAGUGGCGUUCACAACUAUCUGAUCACAGCCAGUUACAGAUGCCUUUGUUCCUUUUCCACUCCCACUGCUUCACUUGUCUAGCCUAAA
ensembl:Y_RNA Y_RNA Y RNA